ACGACUCUCGACAACGGAUAUCUCGGCUCUCGCAUCGAUGAAGAACGUAGUGAAAUGCGAUACUUGGUGUGAAUUGCAGAAUCCCGUGAACCAUCGAGUCUUUGAACGCAAGUUGCGCCCGAAGCCGUCAGGCCGAGGGCACGUCUGCCUGGGCGUCUCAC
rnacentral:rRNA from 1 species